UCGGAAAAUCGAAACCAGGGCCGCACGUGCGGGGAAGUGGGUCUUUUUCAGCUCGCACACUGCAUAAAAGGCAGGUGCGGGAAGGGGCCACCACACGUGCGGGGAUGAAGACCGCACGUGUAGGAGGACGCUUCGCACAUGCGGGAGUAGGUGCCGCACGUACAGGCCUCUAGGCAAUCCGAAAUCUCUAUUUUUUUUUCUCUCUUUGGCUGUGUGUGUAUCACUUUUAGCUCAUCUCUCUCUUUCUCUAAAAAUCAUUUCCUCUCCCUUCUCUCUACUUUUCCUACACCAAAGCUCCUAAAACAUUUGAUCUCUUGCAAUCCAUUAGGAUCUUAACUCAACAUUUUUCACAAAUAUUGGAAAGCUAAGCUAGAAAUCCACUUUGUGCGGUGGAGAUCGAAGUUCUACACUUUUGAAUCCUAGGGUUUCAUCUCAUCUCUUCAACAAGGUUGAGGAAAAGAUGUGGUGAUCCCGCCGAGUUGAGGGCGUGAACAUAUUUUGUGAAGAGUGAUGACUCUAUUUUUGUGGUGAUUUAUUUUGCUAGCCUAGGGCUAUUAAUGUAUGGGUCCGAGAGACCAUUUUUGUAUAACCAGGCUAAGCCUUGGAACAUGUAAGCCCCUAAGGGCAUUUUAUUUGUUUUGAAAUUUGAUGUUCUACAUGCUAUAGAUUCAUGUAUUUUUAUAUCAUUGAAUGUAUAAUUCGCAUAUGGAAUUAUGUAUGAACCUUAUUGAUAUGAUGUACAAAUUGGAGAAUUACUAUUAUUCUUGA